rnacentral:rRNA from 1 species
CUUGUAAGGACUCGGCAACUGUCUUCAUAAGUUAGACGAUAUGAAGAACCACUGGAUGCUAUUACUCCUUAUUAUUUUAUUAAGGUUAGCUUUAAUAAGAUAGAAUUUUCAUAAGCUUAGCAUUAGUUAAGUUUAUAUAAGGAAGUGUAACCUCCCCCUUUAGUUUUAGCAAUAUUUCUAUUGGCUAGGGUGCUUUGCGUAUUACCAUAUUGGUAAUCCAGGGCCUUAAUAGCAUUUAAGUGGUGGCACAGAAUCGGAGGCCCCGACUGUUUACUUAAAACACAGCUUUCUGCGACGAAUAAUAUCUUUGUAUAGAAAGCGAAUUUUGCCCAAUGCCAUUAAUAUAAGGUCGAUAAGCGCUUAGCGUAAUUAUUGGCUGAAGUUCUGGUCAAUGGCGGUCUUAUCUAUGAGGAUCCUAAGGUAGCAAAAUUAAUUGUCCAUUAAAUGUGGUCCCGACUGAAUAAGGUAACGAUGGUCUCGCUGUCUCUACAAGUAUCUCAGUGAAAUUGAAUUAGCCGUGCAGAUGCGGUUUAACUUCGGGUAGACGGGAAGACCCUAUGCAACUUUACUGUAGCUAGUUAUAAUAUUCUCGUAAUCUGGGUGUAGCGUAUAAGGUAGUCGACAUGACUAAGGUGAAACACCUUAACCGGAAUUCCGUUAAUAUUUAUUCUCUGUGGGCAAAGCCCU